UUCAUUGUGAUUGAACUAAUAUUUGUUGUUCUCCAGAGUUAUGGCUUCAGCGUUGUUCUUCAUUCUGCUUUUCUCAGGACUGUGGGCUUUCGCUUUGGGCGCAUCACGUCAUUAUUAUGCAGUGAAAGUUAAUGCAACAUGGGACGAUGCUCAGAAAUGGUGCAGGGAGAAUUACAGUGACUUGGCUACUAUUGAGAAUGAGGAUGAAAUGAAUGCUGUAAAAGAGCUUCUCAAGGAGGAACAUGACAAAUUCUGGAUAGGACUGAAACAAAACAUGACUAAUGACCUCCAAUCACUGUGAUUGCUCAGAAUAAGACGUGGCAAGAAGCUCUGAGGUUCUGCAGACAGAACCAUGUGGACCUGCUCUAUAUUUACUCGAAGGAAAUACAGGACUGGGUUGAAUACGCCACUCAAAACGUCACUACCGAUGUGUGGAUUGGUCUGCGUCAUACCUGCGCUCUGGGCUUCUGGUACUGGGUGAGUGACCAUCUGCUACCAAAACUGGGCGCCAGGGAACGGAACCGGAGUGGAAGACUGUAAUUGUGUGGAGAGAAUUGGAGCUCUGCUGGCUGGGAGUAAGAAGUGGGUCAGUCUGCCACAGACUCAAGAACUCAACUUUAUCUGCAUCACCUUCUAGUGCAGGUCAGAGAUUUAGACAUUUAUCACUACAUUACAAUUAUUCAUAGAAUAAUGUAACUGAUUAAUGGGCUUUUUUUAUAGGCUACUAGAAGUGGAGGCAUGGAAUUCAGCUUGAUUCUCAUUAUUUAGGACCACAUUUUUUCUUUUCAAUAUGAUUUUAUUUCAUUCGUUAGACAUGCAAGAGGAAUUUUAGAAUAAUGUUAAGUGUUUGCUAAAUGUUUAAAGUUGGGAAUGGUGUUGGUUAUACUUUUAACCUUUUUAAUAUAAAAAUAUUUUAAUAUAAACUUUAAAUAUCUAUUAGUAUCUUUACUGCCGGCUACUGUUUAAAACUACAUUAUGUGAAGUGUUACUUCCUUUCACAUGGUUUGUACUUCAUUAUCAGUAAUAUGUAGCAUUCAUAUUUUUCAUCUGCAGUCUUAGGAUCUAACCAGCUACAAUAAAGCUUUUUUCAAGCAAUUGUUGGUGAAUUAAGAUUUUUAUUCACAAUAACAUUUAAAAAUUAAUGAUGUCUCAAUCAUUGAGACACUAUCUAAUUGAAUUUGUGCCAAAAGUAUUGACUUUUCAAAAAAAUAAACAAAAGCCUACAAUGUGAAACAAGAGCUCUGGAAAGGAAAAACUAGUGAACUCAGUGGAACAGUAUUUAACUUUGAAUUUUCAUUACAAAACCACAUAAACAUACAUAAACACAAACGCAAACACAAGAACUUACACUGUGCAACCUGGAGAUAUCAAAACAGAGACAAGGAAACAAAACAUAAAAAUGUUAACAUCCCAGCAAGGAACUGACAAAAAAAGGAGGAUCUUCAAUAGACACAGUAGGCGAUAAGCAGAGGUGGAAAAAAUGGGUGACUAAUUAAGAACACGAUGGCGACAUCAGGUGGGGCAACAGAGAAAAACACAUAAAAA